UACGGAGGGGGCGAGCGUUAUUCGGAAUUAUUGGGCGUAAAGGGCGCGUAGGCGGCCCGGUAAGUCAAAGGUGAAAUCCCUCGGCUCAACUGAGGAACUGCCUUUGAAACUGUCGGGCUUGAGGCCGGGAGAGGGUAGUGGAAUUCCCAGUGUAGCGGUGAAAUGCGUAGAGUAUUGGGAGGAACACCAGUGGCGAAGGCGGCUACCUGGACCGGUUCUGACGCUGAGGCGCGAAAGCGUGGGUAGCAAACGGGG
rnacentral:rRNA from 1 species